CGGAACGUGGCCAAGCUUGGGGAAGGCGCCCGCUUCGGAUGCGGGAGAUGCGCAGGUUCGAAUCCUGCCGUUCCGA
rnacentral:tRNA from 1 species